rnacentral:rRNA from 1 species
GAUGAACGCUAGCGGCAGGCCUAAUACAUGCAAGUCGAGGGGUAGAAGAGGCUUGCUUCUUUGAGACCGGCGCACGGGUGCGUAACGCGUAUGCAACCUACCUUCAUCUGGGGGAUAGCCCGGAGAAAUCAGGAUUAAUACCGCAUAAAAUCACAGGAUGGCAUUAUCCAAUGAUCAAACAUUUAUGGGAUGGAGAUGGGCAUGCGUGUCAUUAGCUAGUUGGCGGGGUAACGGACCACCAAGGCGACGAUGACUAGGGGAUCUGAGAGGAUGGCCCCCCACACUGGUACUGAGACACGGACCAGACUCCUACGGGAGGCAGCAGUAAGGAAUAUUGGUCAAUGGAGGCAACUCUGAACCAGCCAUGCCGCGUGCAGGAAGACUGCCCUAUGGGUUGUAAACUGCUUUUAUUCGGGAAUAAACCUUAUUACGUGUAAUAAGCUGAAUGUACCGAAGGAAUAAGGAUCGGCUAACUCCGUGCCAGCCGCCGCCGUAA